AUGCGCACGCACAUAUAUGGGCGUGGGGUGUACCAUGGAGGCAGAACAAGGCCCCUGGCAGAACUGCAUCCCAAUGGACCUCGCCCCGAGCCCUGGCACAGCUUGUGCCCUGGGAAUCAGGCACUGAGAGGGCAGGAGGCGCCACACACCCAGCCACGAAUGAGCCAACCGCAGACACUCUGGCUUUGGCCAAACGUGUCUGUCUCCCACCCAGGGUGAGGCCUACCUCUUGCUCCUGGACAUAAGAAUCAAACCCUGCUGCUCCUGCACCACAGCCUGCAAGAGUGCAAAGCUCUCCAGGAAAAGCUGCACUGUGGACAGUGACCUCAGCCUCUUUCUUCUGCUCGGAUGACAACUCUGGGCUCUGAAGGGAAGACACAGGAACUGGGAUUCCGUGCAGCAACGUCCAGCCCCUCCCCCACCCCAGCGAAAGCCUCUUCCCCAUCAGAACGGGAUGUUUAAAACUGUGCACUUGCUUCCUUAACAAUUUUCAAGCCCCUAGUCAGGACCUCCUGGGAGUCCAGAACAGCCUGCAAGGAGAAAGGUCACUGUGUGUUCCUGCUUCCCUGAUUAAAAAGCCUUCAUGAAGAUUUUCUUGUUCCCACAUCAGGCCUUUUCUAAAAAGUUGAUCCUUCCCAGAUGGAGGCCAGUUCACUCGCCCCAGCCCUGCGCAGGGCAGAGCUCCAGAAAGCAGGAGGUUUUGCAUCUGCUGGUCUUGAGACUCAGAUCUGUCACUUACCAGUGAAGGGAAGAGGGUGGGAUGGAUCACCUUCCUAAGCCUCAGUUUACCCAAAGAUGCAAAGGCCAACAG
rnacentral:lncRNA from 1 species